UUUUUGCAGGAUUCAAACAUCAUAAUGUGGAACUUCCUCUAAGCAGCAAAUUAGGUUACACUGUUAUGAGCGACAACAGACUCAUAAGCAAGCCAAGGAUCCAACUUCCAACUCAAUUCGAUUAGUAGAACUCCAAAAUUGUCAAAUCUCUCAAAUCUUUUAAUCAAGCUACAAUUAAGAAGUCACUUGGUUCCAAAAUCUCCCCGUCUUGCAGUAUCGUCAUAACAUGAUACUGGGACAAUUCAUACAAGCACAACUCUCUCUGAAUUACCAUCCAAAACUACAUGAGGCCUAAUCUUAGUUAAGUCCGAGGUACGUAGGCGAUUCAAAACCAAAAUUCUGUUGUAAUAUUAUAAGUCAUGAUCUUUCACAAUUCCAAACGUCAUUAAUGUAAUACAUGCCUAAAGUCGGGACAAAGUGGUCAUUAA
rnacentral:lncRNA from 1 species